GGCUUUCUGAAAAACACAGAGGGUCGUGCCUUCCCGGUGGGUAUACGAGCCUAAACGGACGCGGUAAAUCGUGCUAAGGUAGCUAAAUUAUGGCCUAUUAAUUGUAGGUCCUGUGAAUGGUUUGACGAGUCUUCAUCUGUCUCGAGGUUAUUUUGGUGAACUUGAAUUAAAUGUGCAAAUGCAUUUAUAAGGGAGAAAGACGAGAAGACCCCGUGAAGUUAGAAAUUUUUAUUAUGAUGUAAGGCCCUGUUAGUUGAUUAACUAAGGUUGAUUUCUGCUGAGCAUCUAAAUGUUUUGGGGUGCCAAGUGUUGUAAGGGCUAAGCAGAGAAGUAAGGGAGCAUAUUUAAUUAAGUUUUGGCUGGGGCAGCAAAAAGGCAAAGCUAGACCUUUUUAGUAAGUUGGCGGGUGCGCUAUGAUCCACAUUUCUAGGAAGAUGUGCUUAGCAGAAGAAGUUACUCCGGGGAUAACAGCGUUAUCCAUCCUGAUAGUUCUUAUAGACGGGUGGGUUUGCGACCUCGAUGUUGGCUCUGGGUGUCCUGAGGCUGUAGGUGGUUCAAGGGUUGGUUUGUUCGCCCAUUAAAACCCG
rnacentral:rRNA from 1 species